rnacentral:rRNA from 1 species
UACGGGGGGGCAAGCGUUGUUCGGAAUUACUGGGCGUAAAGGGCGCGUAGGUGGCCUGUUAAGUCGGGUGUGAAAACUCUGGGCUCAACCCAGAGCCUGCAUUCGAUACUGAUGGGCUAGAGUUCUGGAGGGGAAAGCGGAAUUCCUGGUGUAGCGGUGAAAUGCGUAGAUAUCGGAAGGAACAUCAGUGGCGAAAGCGACUUCCUGGACCAAUACUGACGCUCAUGUGCGAAAGCGUGGGGAGCAAACAGG